CGAACGAGAAAGUGGAGCAAUCCAUGAGUACAGUGGCGUACGGGUGAGUAACACGUGGGUAAUCUACCUCUUAGUGUGGAAUAACCCUGGGAAACCGGGGCUAAUACCGCAUAAGCUCGAGAGAGGAAAGCAGCAAUGCGCUGAGAGAGGAGCCCGCGGCCGAUUAGCUAGUUGGCAGGGUAAAAGCCUACCAAGGCAAAGAUCGGUAGCCGGCCUGAGAGGGCACACGGCCACACUGGCACUGAAACACGGGCCAGACUCCUACGGGAGGCAGCAGUGGGGAAUCUUGCACAAUGGGGGCAACCCUGAUGCAGCGACGCCGCGUGAGCGAUGAAGCCCUUCGGGGUGUAAAGCUCUUUCGGCAGGGAAGAUUAUGACGGUACCUGCAGAAGCAGCUGCGGCUAACUACGUGCCAGCAGCCGCGGUAAUACGUAGGCAGCAAGCGUUGUUCGGAGUUACUGGGCGUAAAGGGUGUGUAGGCGGUUCUCUAAGUUUGGUGUGAAAUCUCCCGGCUCAACUGGGAGGGUGCGCCGAAUACUGAAGGACUAGAGUACGGGAGAGGAGAGUGGAAUUCCUGGUGUAGCGGUGAAAUGCGUAGAUAUCAGGAGGAACACCGGUGGUGUAGACGGCUCUCUGGACCGUAACUGACGCUGAGACACGAAAGCGUGGGUAGCAAACAGGAUUAGAUACCCUGGUAGUCCACGCCCUAAACGAUGCAUAUUUGGUGUGGGUCAUUCAGUUGAUCCGUGC
rnacentral:rRNA from 1 species